GGCCCUGUAGUGUAGUGGUUAUCACUCAAGAUUCUGAUUUCGCAGAAUAUUCUUGAAACCUCAGUUCGAAUCUGGGCAGGGCCU
rnacentral:tRNA from 1 species